UGGGGAAUCUUGGACAAUGGGGGCAACCCUGAUCCAGCCAUGCCGCGUGAGUGAUGAAGGCCUUAGGGUCGUAAAGCUCUUUCGCCUGUGAAGAUAAUGACGGUAGCAGGUAAAGAAACCCCGGCUAACUCCGUGCCAGCAGCCGCGGUAAUACGGAGGGGGUUAGCGUUGUUCGGAAUUACUGGGCGUAAAGCGCACGUAGGCGGACCAGAAAGUUGGGGGUGAAAUCCCGGGGGCUCAACCCCGGAACUGCCUCCAAAACUAUUGGUCUAGAGUUCGAGAGAGGUGAGUGGAAUUCCAAGUGUAGAGGUGAAAUUCGUAGAUAUUUGGAGGAACACCAGUGGCGAAGGGCGGCUCACUGGCUCGAUACUGACGCUGAGGUGCGAAAGUGUGGGGAGCAAACAGGAUUAGAUA
rnacentral:rRNA from 1 species